rnacentral:rRNA from 1 species
UGGGGAAUAUUGCACAAUGGGCGCAAGCCUGAUGCAGCCAUGCCGCGUGUAUGACGAAGGCCUUCGGGUUGUAAAGUACUUUCAGCGGGGAGGAAGGCGAUAAGGUUAAUAACCUUGUCGAUUGACGUUACCCGCAGAAGAAGCACCGGCUAACUCCGUGCCAGCAGCCGCGGUAAUACGGAGGGUGCAAGCGUUAAUCGGAAUUACUGGGCGUAAAGCGCACGCAGGCGGUCUGUCAAGUCGGAUGUGAAAUCCCCGGGCUCAACCUGGGAACUGCAUUCGAAACUGGCAGGCUAGAGUCUUGUAGAGGGGGGUAGAAUUCCAGGUGUAGCGGUGAAAUGCGUAGAGAUCUGGAGGAAUACCGGUGGCGAAGGCGGCCCCCUGGACAAAGACUGACGCUCAGGUGCGAAAGCGUGGGGAGCAAACA